rnacentral:rRNA from 1 species
AUACGUAGGGGGCAAGCGUUAUCCGGAUUUACUGGGUGUAAAGGGAGCGUAGGUGGUUUGGUAAGUCAGGUGUGAAAGCCCGGGGCUCAACUCCGGGAUUGCACUUGAAACUAUCAGACUUGAGUGCAGGAGAGGUAAGUGGACUUCCUAGUGUAGCGGUGAAAUGCGUAGAUAUUAGGAGGAACACCAGUGGCGAAGGCGGCUUACUGGACUGUAACUGACGCUGAGGCUCGAAAGCGUGGGGAGCAAACAGGAUUAGAUACCCUGUUAGUCCACGCCGUAAACGAUGAAUACUAGGUGUCGGGGGUCAAACGACCUUCGGUGCCGUCGCAAACGCAAUAAGUAUUCCACCUGGGGAGUACGUUCGCAAGAAUGAAACUCAAAUGAAUUGACGGGG